GAGAGAGAGAGAAAGAGAUGUAUUUUAGAAUAAAAAUACUUACCAUAGAAAUUCCCCAUCAUUACAGAAAUCAAUCGAUUUACUAACUGCUCUGCACUACAUAAAGGCACAAGAAGAGUUUUCACUUUAAUCACUGUUACAUCCGAGAGGAGCAUAAAAUUCGUCUUAUGCCUAUUGCGCAAAUAGGCCAACUGAAAACGCAUUGACAUCGCAAGUCACCGGGCUAAGAGAGGGAGCGUCGGAGAGGUGGCGGAAGAAGAGAACGAGCCUGGUGCUGAAUGGCGCCCUACCUGGUCCCCGAAGUCAUAAAUCAUUCCCCCGCAAUACUACCCCUCGGCGUUUUCCUGCACCAUAACAUCGCUGAUCGGCGAACGGUCAACAUCACCUGGAGCGCACCACGAAGAGGACCGUGCCUGCUUUCACGACGAAAUCUCAGAAUAAAGUUCAAUGGAAAAAAUCAGGUAUUACAUUAAUAUGGGGAACACAAAGGAGAAUCUGAGAAGAAUCGAAGGAGAGAUAAAAGAAUAAAGAAUAAAGAAGAAAGAAGAAAGACGGAAAGCGCAAAAGAAAAUAAGAUGGCAAAGCACAACGUCUCUUACUGCGUCAAGUAUAAGAUGGGGUGGUCUUCAUCCGCAAAAGUGCCCCCCGGGAGCUGCGUCAACGUCCUACAGAAGAAGCAGAACCCCCUUCGCGUUUCCCGAUCCUUUGGCCUUUCAAGUUACCUCUUCACGGAUCUUCACGAAUGGGCAGGAUCACAACGGCAACGAGUUUUCUGGACGGACGUCACUCAGAUUCCGACCUUCUACCAUUCUUCUUGCGCCGUUAUGAUUUAUGGAUUCAUUAAUGCAACAUACAACACUUUCUCGGCCACGGGGAAAGGGAACGCUGAUUAACCAUUUUAUUUUUUAUGCUAAAGCAAAUAUUCAAAUUUGUCACGAGGUACGAAUGUGAAUCGUUUGCCGUGCCGAAGAACAGAAAAGGAAAUCGACUGGCUAUCGACUGGAUUAUUAUUCCAAGCAUGCUUCUCGGACGUCCAUUCCUUCUAAAACAUUCCACGAUACGAUACAUGGUGCCAGUCGAAGACCAACGCUUCUGCGUGAACGUGCAAGUGUGGCGUGAUUGGGAUACGUUUGCGAAACGACAAAUCUCGCAGAAGGUGUCUAGUCAGUCUCUGCGAAGUGUAAGCUGAUUGGUUUGACGAAGACCUGCUCAAAGUUCCGAAAAUGAUCAGGAGACAGAGAUCCUCAUGUUGGUGUCAGAGAUUCAUCCACAUUCGCAACUUUACCCGAUGAUGAGACGUAAGCAAACUUUAGGAAGACAUAUUGCAUAUGAGUUGAGAAUGACAGGUGGAAAGGUGGUUGAAUGGUAUAUGACGUGGGGCCGAUGUUACGAAGAAACAAAUAGUUGCGAUUUAUCGAGUUAUUUCUAAUCCUCCUUCGCUAAAUUUUCUUUUAUAAUUCUCUAGCACGUGACAACGUUGUUUACUUUUUAUCUCUUUUUUCUACUUCUGAUUUAUUAAUAUUGUGCUAGAAAAUGACAGAUUGUUUCUAUAUAUCAUGCAAAAAGAGUUACGAAUCGUUUUCAAAUAAACCAUAUUGGACAGCAUUGCUUUUUUCGUUUUAACGAUCUUUUAAAAUAUUUUUUCAACUGAUCGAUCUCAUGUUAUAUUUUUCAAUUUGACAUUUACCCCUGUAAACUAUUUUCCGUAUAUCACAGAUACCAAGUAUUCAACGCUAUUUCUUUAUCAUUUUUCGUAUUUUGCGUUCUUUCAUCCGUCGGCGAUAUUUUUGAUGGAAAAGGUGUAUAACGGCUCAUCGUUAUCUGCUUGAUUCUUCUUAUCGCGAUUCGACUCCUUUGCCGUUUUAAGCAUCCCCUUCGUAAGCUGCGUGUCCUUUCUCCUUCUACUUAACUUUUUCUAUCCGUUAUACAUACACACACGGAUAACUCCUCCGUCUUCUUCCGUCGCUAAGCGUCGAUGGAGGCACGCUCUACGGCACAACCCUCACCCUCCGACACGUUCUCUCUCCACUCUUCUCGUUUCCCUCUCGUGUCAGCCUCCGCAGCUUCAGGAGCAGAGAGACGAUCAAUACGUCGCUCUAGAACGGAGAAGGAACGGAAGCUACGUCAUUGGGAGACUUUGGUGCUCGUGGGGAGCGGAAAGGGGCCGAGGUAAAGGGACCUUUUCCAGGCGAUUCCUCGAGAAGCAUAGGAGAGGAGACCAGGCCUGGCUCAGACCAGAUAUGCCCAGCUAUGAGCGCGAAAAGAUGAUGAGACGAAGGGUGGCCCCUAUGUUUUGCAUCUCUCUUUCUCUAGCUGGGUGGUUGACAGGGACUCCGGGCCGAGACCGCACGACUCGAACCGAACGUCAACGAGCGCAGGGACGUCUGUGCGAUCGGUCCUAUCCAACGUUGAUAAACUUGUCAGAAGUACUCGUGAUUUUUGCCCUUUCGCGUCGAUGUGCUGUAAGAAACGUAUAACGUUUAAUGUUUGCCACGAGGUGUAAAUCGUCUGGCUAUCGCAUUCCCAUUCGUAUAAAUCGACAUUGACGUCCAAGCCUUACUUAAAAUCUUCCAAAAUGAUAUUUUUUUGUUAUUAAAUAAAAAGUUUCUCAGUUAUAAACUAAUGUUCUAAGAAAUAUGUUAAUAUUAUCAAUAGAGAAAUUUCCAUGAUAUCAAUCAUUUUACUUGAACUCAAAAUUGCGAUUGUAAAGGUGUAACAAGUGCACUAUAUCUCGUGUAUACAUUUGUAAAAUUAUUCUUUUCUAAUUUCUAAAUAAUUCUUGACACUUGCAAAAUUUAGUCAAAAGUUUUAUUCAAGAGUUACUAUUUAAGAGUAUCUUGUGAUAUAGGAAAGCUUUAUCGAUUGGCGUGCAAGCGACAGAUUGUUACGCAUCCAUUUUCAAUUGUUUUCAGUAGAUUUAUUCUGGUCUUUCGAACGAAUAUGUACAUAUAUAAAAUUGAGUCUUUUUUUAGCUAACAAUAAUUAACGCAUCAUGUAGCAACUGAUGUAACAAUUCUUUAUAUAUCAAGGACGUGAAUUAAUGUUUAUCACGAUUUUGUAAUGCUUUAAGAAAAAAAUCAAUUUUUGAAGCUCUCAAUUACAAUUAAUUCUGC